rnacentral:rRNA from 1 species
AACUUUUUUUGGGGUUAUGCUCAGAGCCAUGCUAUCGGAGUCCGAUUUAGCCAUGCUAGUUGUGCGGGUUUAGGCCCGCAGCGGAAAGCUCAGUAACACGUGUCCAAGCUACCCUGUGGACGGGAAUACUCUCGGGAAACUGAGGCUAAUCCCCGAUAACGCUUUGCUCCUGGAAGGGGCAAAGCCGGAAACGCUCCGGCGCCACAGGAUGCGGCUGCGGUCGAUUAGGUAGACGGUGGGGUAACGGCCCACCGUGCCUAUAAUCGGUACGGGUUGUGAGAGCAAGAGCCCGGAGACGGAAUCUGAGACAAGAUUCCGGGCCCUACGGGGCGCAGCAGGCGCGAAACCUUUACACUGUACGAAAGUGCGAUAAGGGGACUCCGAGUGUGAAGGCAUAGAGCCUUCACUUUUGUACACCGUAAGGUGGUGUACGAAUAAGGACUGGGCAAGACCGGUGCCAGCCGCCGCGGUAAUACCGGCAGUCCGAGUGAUGGCCGAUAUUAUUGGGCCUAAAGCGUCCGUAGCUGGUUGAACAAGUCCGUUGGGAAAUCUGUCCGCUUAACGGGCAGGCGUCCAGCGGAAACUGUUCAGUUUGGGACCGGAAGACCUGAGGGGUACGUCUGGGGUAGGAGUGAAAUCCUGUAAUCCUGGACGGACCGCCGGUGGCGAAAGCGCCUCAGGAGAACGGAUCCGACAGUGAGGGACGAAAGCUAGGGUCUCGAACCGGAUUAGAUACCCGGGUAGUCCUAGCUGUAAACGAUGUCCGCUAGGUGUGGCGCAGGCUACGAGCCUGCGCUGUGCCGUAGGGAAGCCGAGAAGCGGACCGCCUGGGAAGUACGUCUGCAAGGAUGAAACUUAAAGGAAUUGGCGGGGGGAGCACUACAACCGGAGGAGCCUGCGGUUUAUGUGUGACCCCCGAAAAAAU